rnacentral:lncRNA from 1 species
AAAAAAUUUCUGAAAAGAAACGUAUGUUCAUAAAUAACAAAAUCUCGGGAUGUCAUGUUCCGAUACAGACCAAAAGCAUAAACAGUAUAAAAUAGACCUUACAACAGUUAUUUAUAACUACUGAUCUAUAAUCCAAAAUCUCUCGUCAUGUCAAUCGACUUAUGCCCUUGUGCUACUACCUAUGAUACAAAGAAAACUGAGUGGGUCAGACUUGGGAGCCUGGUAUAAUCCAAAAUCUCUCGUCAUGUCAAUCGACUUAUGCCCUUGUGCUACUACCUAUGAUACAAAGAAAACUGAGUGGGUCAGACUUGGGAGCCUGGUGAACAUAUAGGGUUUUCAACCCACAAUAAUAUAAUUAUUAUAUUUAACCAUCAAACAAUCAACCCAAUUACCCAUACCCAUUAUCUUCUUUAUUUCUUAAGGUUUUACCUUAAUAAUAAACUAUCCUUCCUUCAUUCAUUCCUAAGGAUUGACCUAAGGAAUUGGCACAAACUCCAUUGCUGCCCGAGG